GUUUUCAUUACAGAGAUUCCUUCAGUGAGAGGGGCCUGUAGAAGGAACUACUUGUCAUUGUUGUCCAUCCAUUUUGUAAGAAAGCUCCAUGGGCACCCACCGGAAGCCACAGGUGCCAGCUUACAACAUGAUGUGUCCGUAGUGUGGCCUAUGAAAUGUAAGGACCGUGACGUUCAAAAGGAAGAGUACGGUGUGGUGGCUCUCUUCCCUAAUCCCAGCAUUCAGAAGCCUGAGGCAGAAGGAUGGAGAUGAUGAUGAUGAUGUUAGAUGCGGUGAUACAGGCCUGAAAACCCAAUAUUUAGGAACCUGAAGCAGUAGGAUCAGGAGUUUAAGACCAGCCUAAGAUACGUGUCUAAAACAAAUACCUGUCUAAAAACAAAUCCAAAGGGGGUGGAGAGUAUGUUCUCUAUGCCCUGUUUUUUCUUUUCUAAAUGAAGACAUGGUGGAUCCUGAAGUGUAGGGAGAGACCCUGGAUACCUGUGCCUCUGACCAUGCCCGUUUGGGCGUGGCCACAGGUACAUAGAGGGGUAGGAUAAAGAUCAAGGAGGAGAGGCGCUGGCCCUCUCCAGGCCUGGACUCGGUUCCUCGUGUACACUUGUGUGUCAAGUGUCCAUGGAAGUCAGGAGAAGGACUGGAGUUACAAAAGGUUGCCCGCUACUGUCUGGGUGCAGAAAACUGAACUUAGAUCUUCUGCAAGAACAAUCAGUGCUCUUAACCACUGAGCUGGAGGUGAUAUAACCAUGAGAGGCAGCUUUCUCACAGGCCUUUCCAUGGCCUGCUUUCUGACACUCCCCAGUUAGCAGACAAGCAUUAGUAGCUUCUCUUGCUCACCUCUGCCAAUACUUGAGGCAAAACCAUUUGUCUUCUUUAUCUAAUUCUUGUAGAGCAAUCUUUGGCAGAGUUUUAGAAAUUGCUGGACCUUUGUUCUGAAACACUAAACUCCUACACUAGAAUCACACCACAUUCUACCAGUUAAAGUGGGAUCUUCUAGAUGCCAGCAGUUACUGGGGUUUUUGCCUUAGCCCUUCCCACCCACAACCCUCACCAAAUAAGUCAAAUACAAGCCAAAGCAUCCUUACAAAGAAUUCCAUAAUGCAGGUAAGUAACCUUUUCCUACAAAGGGACACAAUAAAAUAUUCAAGGCUUUAAGACCCACAUACAUCUCUCUCUAUGCUCAAGUAUCUUUAUUUGUGUGACAGUCCUUUUAAAGUGUUUUUGUUUGCUUGUUCUGUUUUUGAGGACCGGAAAAAGUCAGGUAUAAUGAUACCCACAACAUGGAAGGAGAGAGCCAACUCCCACAAAUUGUUAUCUGACCUGCACAUGGAUGGCAUGGGAUAUGUGUAAACACACACACUAAUUUUUCUAUCUGAAGAGUAAAAGUAGUGCACUGAAUAAAAGAUGAUACUAUCUAGAUGUAUUUAUAUUUUUUGCAUUUGUUUUGCCUUAUAGUUUUUUUAUUUUAUUUAUUAUGUAUACAAUUAUCUGCAUGCAUGCUUGCCAC
rnacentral:lncRNA from 1 species